UAAAACUGCUUCACCUGCACCCGCAAUUAAGUUCCACAAUAACUUGCACGGUGUGUAUAUUACAAAAGCAUAUUAUAACAUAGUAUCUACGUAUAAAUUGUAUCCUUGGAAAACGUCAAUUUCGAAUAAUUAAACGAAAAGAAGAUUUUCUAAAAAUUGUAAUAUACCGUAUAUCACUUAAAUAAUUGGUAAUAAAUUGUUGAACGUUCUUAUGUUAUUUUCUCUAUUAUUUAAAAGCAUGAAGAAUUUUAAGCUCAUUGAGUAUUCAUUAAUUCAUUAGCAUACGGAGCAGUAGAAUUUUCAAACUUAAGUCAAUACAAGUGUGCGGAACCCUUAAUUAAUAAUGCUUAAUUUAAAGUGCUGGAAAUAGUUUAGAAUUCUACAAAAGUAUAGCAAUUAAACUUGGAAAAUUAUCACUAUGCGGGGUGAAUAUAAAAGAUAAAUUACAGUUUAUAUCUGAAAAGACAAAUGACCGCGGUCGAUUUCAUCAGUACCGAUAUGCACGCGAAUCGUGGGUAUGUUAUUACAUUUCCAGGAUUCCAAAUAUCAUUACUUAAUAGCUCCUAAUCAAAGUGUUUCGGAUAAUAAAUUGAUCUGAGUUAGAAAUAUGAUUAUUUUCGUGCGAAAGGCUAGUUUCAGCGAUCGUAAUUCAGUGAUCAUGAAAAUUGACGUAUCUCGCGUGUCUCAAAAAGUAUUCAGUGUUUGAAGCUUUUCUUUCUUUAUGGCUGUCUCCUCGUAAGGGAGAUGUGCCAGUCAGUGUGAUAAUAGACUAUCGGUAAACUGCAUUAUCAAAUAUUGGUAAAGAGGGUUGACCCUAAUGUAUUAUGUGACUAAAACAAAAUUUAUGGAUUUUCAAUAUGCUCCAGAAUUGCUAUGUUAGUUCCAGCAUAUCUCACGUGCCCGCAGCGCUCACUAAUCGUCAAACACAAAGUUCCAUGAGGCCGUGACUGUCUGUGGUAAUAUCACCUCGGUAACUGUAUGCAUUCCCAUAGAUAUAAAGUGUGCUUGACAGAAUAAGAAUAACACGUGCACGAAUUAUAGGAAUCACACGUGAAAGAGAAAUACGGGACAUUUGUGAUAUACUAAAUGAAAUCUCGAGCAGAGGUCACUGAUGUGAGGCACCUUCUUCCCGGCGUCUGGAAUGCCUUGACACUCAGGACACGAUGACUUUUCAAUUUUCACCUCGUCGGAUUCUUCAGUGUGAAGGUAGCAGCUUUAUUGCAUCGACGUCAUUUUUUUACGGAAUUAUCCCGUCCGUUAAAGAAGCUACUACGACGUUCUACAUUCCUUAUACCCACUGCAGGGUCAAUAACAUCAGGUUCUUAUCCUGAAUUCUUGAAAUAUCACAAGGAAAGGAAAUAUUGUCAGCAGCUUAAGGUGAAAACAAGCUUCGAUCCUAUGUAUUUCGAAAUACAAUCAAUGAGGAAGACAAGCAGAGGAAACCUCACAUCGGAUAUCCGAGAUGCUACGAGAUACACGCAACGUGACUUCCAAUGCAUGACAAAUGAAAAGCGUUAGGCUUAACAUUUAUUUAAUAAGUUUACAGUAAUACAGUAAGAUUCCGG